rnacentral:rRNA from 1 species
GACGAACGCUGGCGGCGCGUCUAACACAUGCAAGUCGAACGAGCGAGCGAGAGCUUGCUUUCUCAAGCGAGUGGCGAACGGGUGAGUAACGCGUGAGGAACCUGCCUCAAAGAGGGGGACAACAGUUGGAAACGACUGCUAAUACCGCAUAAGCCCACGACCCGGCAUCGGGUAGAUGGAAAAGGAGCAAUCCGCUUUGAGAUGGCCUCGCGUCCGAUUAGCUAGUUGGUGAGGUAACGGCCCACCAAGGCGACGAUCGGUAGCCGGACUGAGAGGUUGAACGGCCACAUUGGGACUGAGACACGGCCCAGACUCCUACGGGAGGCAGCAGUGGGGAAUAUUGCACAAUGGGGGAAACCCUGAUGCAGCGACGCCGCGUGGAGGAAGAAGGUCUUCGGAUUGUAAACUCCUGUUGUGGAGGAAGAUAAUGACGGUACUCAACAAGGAAGUGACGGCUAACUACGUG